CCAGCCCGCUCAGAAACUCAAAGGAAUUGACGGGGCCCGCACAAGCGGAGGAACAUGUGGUUUAAUUCGAUGAUAACGCGAGGAACCUUACCUGGGCUUAAAUGUAGAGUGCAUUUUCUAGAGAUAGGAAUUCCCUUCGGGGCUUUCUGCAAGGUGCUGCAUGGUUGUCGUCAGCUCGUGCCGUGAGGUGUCGGGUUAAGUCCCAUAACGAGCGCAACCCUUAUCGUUAGUUGCCAUCUGGUAAAGCAGGGGACUCUAGCGAAACUGUCCACCGUAAGGUGAGAGGAAGGUGGGGAUGACGUCAAAUCAGCACGGCCCUUAUGUCCAGGGCUACACACGUGUUACAAUGGCCGGUACAGAGGGCAGCUACCUGGUGACAGGAUGCUAAUCUCGAAAACCGGUCUCAGUUCGGAUCGAAGUCUGCAACUCGACUUCGUGAAGCUGGAUUCGCUAGUAAUCGCGCAUCAGCCAUGGCGCGGUGAAUACGUUCCCGGGCCUU
rnacentral:rRNA from 1 species